ACACGUUUUUAUUCCCCAAAUUAAAUCAAAACCUUUUAUUUUAUACCUCAUCUCUUUUAUUCACCUCCCACCCACUACCCAUCACCACCCGCCACCAUCACGCACAGCUGCUCUCGUCACCGUCAAACACCAGAUCUGCACUCUCUCCUCCUCCCUCUCUCUCCCCCUCCCCUCACGAGCUCCAUCACAACCGCGACUUAAAGCACCGCAGCGGCUCAAUCGCCACCGCCGGCAGACACACAAACACAAUCACAGUCGUCUCCUGCAUUUUUACUCGCUUUCUCUCUGUUUUGCAGCAACCAAAAACCUCCGCGCGGCGAUUUUUUGCAUUAGGCAAGUGGCAGUUCCACUAGUCAGAGAUGUUAACUAUACCGUGGUUGUUUAUUUAUGGUGCACAGAUAAGUGGAUAACAAUAUGGAUGCGGAUGUGUUUUUGUGGUUUCAGAGAGAUUUAUCCUGUAGUGUUUUCUUUGAUUAUUUUUUCCGGUGGUGAUUUGUUAUUUAACAUACAUGGAUUUGAAAUUAUAAAAAGAAGCAUAUAUGAAAAGCCACGGUGAUUAUUAGUUGUAGUAUCGGUUUAAUCCGGUGAUUUGUAGGUGACUUGGAAAGAUGAUCGGAAAUUAUUUGGUGGUUUUUAUUUUUACGGUGGUGAUUUUAAUUUUUUGGUGUUGGUUUUCGAUUUUCUGGUGGUGAUUUUCGAUUUUCAAGUGGUGAUUUUAAUUUUCUGGCGUUGAUUUUUGAUUUUCUGACGGUGAUUUUUGGUGUUCCGGUGGUGAUUUUAUAUUUUCCGGUGGUGAUUUUCUGGUGGUCGCCGGAAGUGGUGGUGGCCGGAAAUGGUGGUCAGCGGUGGUUGGAGGUGGCAGGUGGUGGAAUUAGAAUGAAAAUGGUGAUAAAAUAUUAAAUAUUAAAAAUUAAUGUAUGGUGAGGGAUUGAUAUAAGAUAUAAAAUGAGUGGUUAUGAUUAGAUCUCAUAUCUCACCAUAAGAAUGGUUCUCAUUUGAGCAAGACCCUAUAUAUAUAUAUA
rnacentral:lncRNA from 1 species